GAACGCUAGCGGCAGGCUUAACACAUGCAAGUCGAGGGGCAGCAUAAUGAAGUAGCAAUACGGAUUUGAUGGCGACCGGCGCACGGGUGCGUAACGCGUAUGUAACCUACCUCUAACAGGGGGAUAACACUGAGAAAUUGGUACUAAUACCCCAUAACACUUAAGGAGGCAUCUUCUUAGGUUGAAAGUUCCGGCGGUUAGAGAUGGACAUGCGUUGUAUUAGCUAGAUGGCGGGGUAACGGCCCACCAUGGCGACGAUGUCUAGGGGUUCUGAGAGGAAGGUCCCCCACACUGGAACUGAGACACGGUCCAGACUCCUACGGGAGGCAGCAGUGAGGAAUAUUGGUCAAUGGUCUGACGACUGAACCAGCCAUGCCGCGUGAAGGUCACGGCCCUAUGGGUCUUAAACUUCUUUUGUAAGGGAGCAAUAAGUCUCACGUGUGGGAUGAUGAGAGUACCUUACGAAUAAGCAUCGGCUAACUCCGUG
rnacentral:rRNA from 1 species